GUUGUCCAUCAAAUCUUUGGGGGCUUUCUGAGAUCCAGAGGUACUUUUCCACAACUGUCGCUCUCCUGGAAUUGUCUGUGCCCUUCUGCCUGCCUGUGAGAAACGGCUGUUCAUGUGACUGGUGUAGUCGGUAGGAAGAGCAUAAACCGGCACCGUUGAUCUCCCCUGUCGCUGAGCGUUUUGAUUUGCCUUCUAGUCACGUGCUUGAGCUGCCAAGCAGUCUCCGAUUCCUACGAGCCCUUCCUGGAUGUUCCUUUGGAUAUCCAGGUGAGACGUUUGGAUAUUGGGGUGCAAAUUAGUUCAAGGCCCCUGCAGGGGGCCCAGGUUAUCUCCAGUAAAGGCUGUUGACUUCAACCUGUGCGCCGUUACCACGCAAGAGCUUGUUGUUGGGUGGGAAGGGACCUGGACUUCCGUGCGCUUUCUGUGGAAGCCCUGUCAAUGGCCUCCCUGUGCCGUGUGCUGGGUUUCAGCUGGGCAAAGAGUACGGGUGGUACCUACAGCCAAGGCGACGCUGUCACACCGCCCUGCUCCGGGCUCCCGCAAUACCUGUCUCAUUGCUUUUGUUAUUUUUGACCACAUGUACCGCAGGCAACUCUGGUGCCCCCCAGGGGUAGCUGUUUGUUGGGAAGAUGCUGGUACGCCACGGGGAGCUAUUUCUUGGGACGCUGCGUUUCCAGGAGCUUAGCGCUCUCUCCUUUCUUUCUCAUCCAGGAAUGCUCCUCUGUCACUCAAGCUCUGGAAGGCUUUGUCAGACCUGAGCUGCUGGGUGGUGAAAAUGGCUAUAGAUGUAGCAAGUAAGAUCAUGCCUAAUGACAGCUUCCCAGCAGAUCCUGGCUUACGGGAUUACACCUCUGGGAGCACUGGCUAUGGUUUGACUUAUCUGGGAAACCCACUCAUGAGCCAGCUUGGAGUUUUUUCUAUUUUUUGUUUCCUUCCCCGUACAACUGUUCCACCCGCACCGUCCAGAAUUUGGAAUAGAAUGCAUUUGUUUCUAAGAUGGGUAUUUUUUUUCCCCUUUGGCCUGAAUGUUUGGAAAGCUUUGAUGAUAAUUUUAUUCCUGGCAUUGCCUGCCCUGGAGGUGGUCAGCCUUCCUCGCUCUGAAGCUGCCCACUGAACGAGCCCUGUGGCCAGAAGGGAAAAGACACGUCCCCUGUGCGGUGGUGAGCCGAAGCCGGGAGGAGCUCUGCAGAGGGAUUUGACAAUGGCGGCUUCCUCAAGAAAGCAGUCAACAGUUUCAUUUCGAAGGCUUUUUGGGUGCUUGGGUCUCUGUGCGGGAGGCCUUAGUCCUCGGAGCCGUAGCAGCCCUGCUGGCUCUCUGAGCAGUGUCGUGGCUAGUUCUUGUCAUGUAAAGACUGUUGCCUGCUGCUCUCCAGAGUGAGGCAGCCUAGCCCGAAGCUACCUUCAGGGAGAGCCUACGGGCUGAAGGGCUCUGCGAUGCAAACACGGGCAUCGACAGCUGGGCAAAGCAAGCCGUAACUCAAGCCUACCUGGAGGAGGGUGGAGCAGGGAGAAGAUAGGUUGCAACAGUCGGGUCUGUGCUUGUCUUCAAGGUGUGAAGAGCUGGUCGCUGCGUCCAAGAGGCUUACAAUACAUCGUUCCUCCAAUGUCCUGACAGUGUGCUUGAAGAGGUUUGAUCCUUUCUCCGGCAGCAAGAUUAGCAAGGAUGUGGAGUAUCCGGAAUGUUUGGACCUUGGCGCAUACACGUCUGAAGCACCUGGAGAACCGCUCCUCUAUUCCUUGUACGCUGUCCUGGUGCAUCAAGGUUCCAGCUGUCAGGCAGGACACUAUUACUGCUUCGUAAAGGGCGGCAAUGGACAGUGGUACAAGAUGAACGAUGCCUCUGUGCAGCUGUGUAACAUCAAGACGGUUCUGCGCCAGCGCGCAUAUUUGCUCUUCUAUGC